rnacentral:rRNA from 1 species
AGAGUUUGAUCAUGGCUCAGAGUGAACGCUGGCGGCAGGCCUAAUACAUGCAAGUCGAACGGCAGCACAGCAGAGCUUGCUCUGUGGGUGGCGAGUGGCGGACGGGUGAGGAAUACGUGGGAAUCUGCCCAGUCGUGGGGGAUAACGUAGGGAAACUUACGCUAAUACCGCAUGCGCCCUUCGGGGGAAAGCCGGGGACCUUCGGGCCUGGCGCGAUUGGAUGAGCCCACGUCGGAUUAGCUAGUUGGCGGGGUAAAGGCCCACCAAGGCGACGAUCCGUAGCUGGUCUGAGAGGAUGAUCAGCCACACUGGAACUGAGACACGGUCCAGACUCCUACGGGAGGCAGCAGUAGGGAAUAUUGGACAAUGGGCGCAAGCCUGAUCCAGCCAUGCCGCGUGAGUGAAGAAGGCCCUCGGGUUGUAAAGCUCUUUUGUCCGGAAAGAAAAGCGCCGGGUUAAUACCCUGGUGUCCUGACAGUACCGGAAGAAUAAGCACCGGCUAACUUCGUG